CACGUGCUCUUCAUUCCCAUCAUUCAAAGAAAUUGAGACAAGAUCUCCAAUUGGCUCACCCCGCUCUUCAGCAAGAUAAUCGUGAGUGUCCAAUCCAUCAACCGAGCAGGGGUCGGACUGUCCCUUUCUCUGAAGGGCUAUGUUUUAGCAAUGUCUUGCCAGGGCUUGAUCUCCUCUGACUUCUCCGACCCCCUGGCUAGUAGAAAAUUUCAAUUUUAAAUGGUA
rnacentral:lncRNA from 1 species